CAGCCGAGAACACGCCGUGAUGGAAGGCGGUCUGCUCGAGAAACGGUGUAAGAAAGAUGGUUACUGAAAUCGAACGAACAGAACCGAAUGAAUUUAGAUCAAACGGAUGAAUCAUCAAAUAUUUGUAGAAUUAUAGAGUUGUCCUUUGAGUUUACGGGGCCCGGUGCAAAAGUCAAUAUUAUUGAAAAUAUCUAACUGGAAACAGAUAACCUUAAAAUUUAUCCCAAUAAAAUUAUAGAAUAACUACUAAUACGUCACACGAGUAUUUUAUGCGAAAUAAAAUGCGAAAGUCUUUCAACGCAAGAUUCGGAUUAAAUGUUCCAUUCAACCUCCUGCUAAGGACAGAUCUGUUUUGUAUUACAGAGUUAGAUCAAAUAUAGACAAAUAUUACUAUUAGAAAAAAGCAACUAAUCGAAGUAUAAUAAUGUACCUUCUUUCAAAAAUGAUUUAAACAAAGUAAAAAUAAGAAAAAUAUUAUGAACUUUAAAAACUACCUGCUGUAUUAUUUCAUAUCAACGCACGACACGAUUGUGUCGCUAUUUUAUAUCUAGAAAUGGUUGUUUGGUGUCGCUACUGUAAUUCAGCAAGUACCAGACAGUGAGCACUGACUACAGAUUCAACAAGACUGGACGUGCCUUUAUUUUCAAAGGGUCGUGAAUUCGUGAAUUUGUGCCUCGAGAACGAACGCCAUCUGUUUUAUCCCCUAGUAUAAAAAUGUGAAAUACUUCGCACUGCAGCAGUCUAACCACCGACAAGAGGCUGUUAAAGACUGCCAUCCUUAUGGGAGUUUGUGUUUUCGCAAAAAUUUUGUGGCUAAUUGUUCCUACAAACUGUACCGAGGAAAAUAAAUAAAUAAAAAAAAAUUCUGUGGCGACAAGCGAUGCACGCUCCUGAAGUGCCAUCUGGGAGUAACUAGGUUAAGUUAGGCUAGUUAGUUUUAGUUACUAGGUUACGAUGUAAAUAUAUAGUUGGUAAGCCUAGAUUCUAAGAAGACGCGCUAAAAAGAAAGCGUCGCUACUCACUCUUAAAGAACUCGCCAAAGAAGAUAGUCGCGGAGUAAAAUUACCAUAGUGCAAGAAUGAGACAUUUGUGCAAGUAAAUCCUGUGUUUCAGUUA